rnacentral:rRNA from 1 species
GGUGACGCGGAGGGAUCAUUACCGAGUUUACAACUCCCAAACCCCUGUGAACAUACCUUAAUGUUGCCUCGGCGGAUCAGCCCGCGCCCCGUAAAACGGGACGGCCCGCCAGAGGACCCAAACUCUAAUGUUUCUUAUUGUAACUUCUGAGUAAAACAAACAAAUAAAUCAAAACUUUCAACAACGGAUCUCUUGGUUCUGGCAUCGAUGAAGAACGCAGCAAAAUGCGAUAAGUAAUGUGAAUUGCAGAAUUCAGUGAAUCAUCGAAUCUUUGAACGCACAUUGCGCCCGCUGGUAUUCCGGCGGGCAUGCCUGUUCGAGCGUCAUUUCAACCCUCAAGCCCCCGGGUUUGGUGUUGGGGAUCGGCUCUGCCCUUCUGGGCGGUGCCGCCCCCGAAAUACAUUGGCGGUCUCGCUGCAGCCUCCAUUGCGUAGUAGCUAACACCUCGCAACUGGAACGCGGCGCGGCCAUGCCGUAAAACCCCAACUUCUGAAUGUUGACCUCGGAUCAGGUAGGAAUACCCGCUGAACUUAAGCAUAUCAAUAAGCGGAGGAA